CGGCCGAAGGGAGACUCUGACUCGCAACAGCUCGCCGAGGCUGGCGGUGCCUGCCGGAUACGAUCAGCAAGUCCGGAAGCUCUCUGUCCUGCCCGACUCUGAAAUCGGCAGCAAGGUCCGGCGGACGUCCAUCAAAGCAGCUCAAGAACAGAUGAAUCCCUUGUUGGCCAGUGAUAACUGCGCCGAUGAUGACUCCGAUGACAGCACCUCUCUGCCCAGCGAUAGUAAAGGUGGCAGCACUGGUUAAAACCUCGGUAAUGUGUCGAGGAUAGUGUUAUCUGUUCUCACAUUGUACUUUUGGAUGAGUUUAAGCAUGUGGAAAAGCGUGUGGCGACAUCUUCACGCUUAGAAGUGAUUGAAGAGUAUGAAUUACGAAUGGCCGACCUCUGAUCGCGCAGUGUUAAUAUAGCCUUGCAUAUACGUG